rnacentral:lncRNA from 1 species
CGGAUCCAGACAGACAAAAUGUAGAAAAAUCGACCCCAUUGGUCUCAACAAUACCCAUGCUCCUGAGAACCUCGUAGUAACUGUCCAGAUAAUCCUAGGGAUACUCAGUAGAUGCACCGUUAAAAGUAGAAGUGAAGAGCUUGGUAAACCUAUCUAGCCUCCACAAAGUAUCGGAAGACAUGGUUGCUCAUUGCCGGCCUGAGCUACUACCCCCAGCUGAACUGGUCUAACUGGCUGAACCGCUAGAGCCUGAAUCUUAAAAGCUACCUACUUUGG